GAGCGUCAUUUCAAAAUUCAAGCUCAGCUUGGUGAUGGGCGUCUGUCCCGCCUCCGCGCGCGGACUCGCCUCAAAAGUAGUUGGCAGCUCCCUUAUCGGCACUGAACGCAGCAAAUUUGCGGGACGCACCGAAGAAAGGGGCUUACCAGUAAGCAAACCACCCCAGAUUGACCUCGGAUCAGGUAGGGAUACCCGCUGAACUUAAGCAUAUCAAUAAGCGGAGGAAAAGAAACCAACAGGGAUUGCCCUAGUAACGGCGAGUGAAGCGGCAACAGCUCAAAUUUGAAAUCUGGCCCCCCCUCGGGGGUCCGAGUUGUAAUUUGCAGAGGGUGCUUUGGCGUUGGCUGUGGUCUAAGUUCCUUGGAACAGGACGUCGCAGAGGGUGAGAAUCCCGUAUGUGGCCGCCAGUCUUCGCCGUGUAAAGCCCCUUCGACGAGUCGAGUUGUUUGGGAAUGCAGCUCUAAAUGGGAGGUAAAUUUCUUCUAAAGCUAAAUAUCUGCCAGAGACCGAUAGCGCACAAGUAGAGUGAUCGAAAGAUGAAAAGCACUUUGGAAAGAGAGUCAAAAAGCACGUGAAAUUGUUGAAAGGGAAGCGCUUGCAGUUAGACGUGCCUCUAGUUGCUCAGCCGGGCCUUCGGGCCCGGUGCACUCUUCUAUUGGCAGGCCAGCAUCAGUCUGGGCGGUCGGAUAAAGGCCCAUUAAACGUGACUCCCUCCGGGGAGAGCUUAUAGGGUGGGCGACAUGCGACCAGCC
rnacentral:rRNA from 1 species